rnacentral:rRNA from 1 species
GUAGGUGGCAAGCGUUGUCCGGAAUUAUUGGGCGUAAAGCGCGCGCAGGCGGUUCUUUAAGUCUGAUGUGAGAGCCCACGGCUCAACCGUGGAGGGUCAUUGGAAACUGGAGAACUUGAGUACAGAAGAGGAAAGCGGAAUUCCACGUGUAGCGGUGAAAUGCGUAGAGAUGUGGAGGAACACCAGUGGCGAAGGCGGCUUUCUGGUCUGUAACUGACGCUGAGGCGCGAAAGCGUGGGGGAGCAAACAGGAUUAGAUACCCUGGUAGUCCACGCCGUAAACGAUGAGUGCUAAGUGUUAGGGGGUUUCCGCCCCCUUAGUGCUGCAGCUAACGCAUUAAGCACUCCGCCCUGGGAGUACGGCCGCAAGGCUG